rnacentral:rRNA from 1 species
CCUACGGGCGGCAGCAGUAGGGAAUAUUGCUCAAUGGGGGAAACCCUGAAGCAGCAACGCCGCGUGGAGGAUGAAGGUUUUCGGAUUGUAAACUCCUUUUGUUAGAGAAGAUAAUGACGGUAUCUAACGAAUAAGCACCGGCUAACUCCGUGCCAGCAGCCGCGGUAAUACGGAGGGUGAAAGCGUUACUCGGAAUCACUGGGCGUAAAGAGCGGGGAGGCGGGAUAGCAAGUCAGAUGUGAAAUCCUAUGGCCUAACCAUAGAACUGCAUUUGAAACUGUUAUUCUAGAGUAUGGGAGAGGUAGGUGGAAUGCUUGGUGUAGGGGUAAAAUGCAUAGAUAUCAAGAAGAAUACUGAUUGCGAAGGCGACCUGCCAGCGCUUAACUGACGCUGAUGCGCGAAAGCGUGGGGAGCAAACAGGAUUAGAUACCCCAGUAGUC